UGGGGAAUAUUGGACAAUGGGGGCAACCCUGAUCCAGCAAUGCCGCGUGUGUGAAGAAGGCCUUAGGGUUGUAAAGCACUUUUGUUGGUGAGGAAGGUUAGAUGUUUAAGAGAUAGCUAACUUGACUGUAGCCAAAGAAUAAGCACCGGCUAACUCUGUGCCAGCAGCCGCGGUAAUACAGAGGGUGCGAGCGUUAAUCGGAAUUACUGGGCGUAAAGGGCGCGUAGGCGGUUAGAUAAGUUUGAUGUGAAAUCCCUGGGCUUAACCUAGGAACUGCAUCGGAAACUGUUUAACUGGAGUGCGGUAGAGGGUAGUGGAAUUUCCGGUGUAGCGGUGAAAUGCGUAGAUAUCGGAAGGAACACCAGUGGCGAAGGCGGCUACCUGGACUGACACUGACGCUGAGGCGCGAGAGCGUGGGGAGCAAACAGG
rnacentral:rRNA from 1 species